CCUACGGGAGGCAGCAGUGGGGAAUAUUGCACAAUGGGGGAAACCCUGAUGCAGCGACGCCGCGUGAGCGAUGAAGUAUUUCGGUAUGUAAAGCUCUAUCAGCAGGGAAGAAAAUGACGGUACCUGACUAAGAAGCCCCGGCUAACUACGUGCCAGCAGCCGCGGUAAUACGUAGGGGGCAAGCGUUAUCCGGAUUUACUGGGUGGAAAGGGAGCGUAGACGGUCCUGCAAGCCAGAUGUGAAAGCCCGGGGCUCAACCCCGGGACUGCAUGUGGAACUGUAAGGCUAGAGUGUCGGAGAGGCAGGCGGAAUUCCUAGUGUAGCGGUGAAAUGCGUAGAUAUUAGGAGGAACACCAGUGGCGAAGGCGGCCUGCUGGACGAUGACUGACGUUGAGGCUCGAAAGCGUGGGGAGCAAACAGGAUUAGAUACCCUUGUAGUC
rnacentral:rRNA from 1 species